AUGUCCGCCGCCGCUAGCUCGUCUGCCGUGAAGCACUGCGGGAAGAAGGCUGCCCAAGCACCUCCUCCACCUCCAGCAUUAGCCCUUUUCUCGCCGCCCAUCUCAUCGCCGGCCCCAGCGGGUGUGCUGCCGUUGGUACCAUGCCCUAGCUGCCGCAUUCGAUCUACGAUUCGUCUUGUGUCAAAAUCGGAGGCAAAUCCCGGCAGGAUUUUCUACAAGUGCCCCAAUCACCAUGUAAGAUUUUCUACAAGUGCCCCAAUCGAUUUGAUGUUUCUGUGUUUCUUUUUGGCUGAAUUUUGUUACUCAAUUUACGUCAGAUUCCACCAAAUACUCUUGUGGUCCUAG
rnacentral:rRNA from 1 species